rnacentral:lncRNA from 1 species
AUGUGCCCGCUGGAGCAAACAGUUCUUUUGACAGCCUUGAGCUUUCCCAGGCAGGAACUUACUGGGGCUGCAGUCACCCCAGAAACACGGCUCUGGGCUGUGGAAACGGUGCUACUGCGGAAGUCUCUUAUCGCAGGGGUGGACGAGGUCGUUCUGCGCCCAGCGUUCCUCUGCGGUUCCCACAGCCCGCUCCCGCUCCCACCUCGGGGAUCUCUGCGGGGAGGCCUCAGAUCCCCAGGACCAGGUCAGGCUCUGCUCCCUGGGUUCCUCUCUCCUUGCUGCCCUCCUCCUCCCUCCCCUCCCCGGGGCUUCCCCAUCAGUGUGGAUUCCCUGACCUCCUAAGGACCUAACGGUCUAUGCUGGAUGGAAGCAGCAAAACGGACCCUCUCACUCUUGCCUUAUCCCCAGCACCAAGGAGAGGCUCAGUAAAUACCAGCUGGAUAAGCAAAGAAGAAACUUGAAUGGAUGGUGGAAAGAGGACGGGAGGGCGGCAGCAGGAGAAAAGUGGGGCCCACACGGUCAGCUACUCAUCCAUGAAGUUUGACAGUGAAGGACGCAGAGGAAUCGAGGAACCGUGAGAUAGUACAGCAGAGUGAAGGGAAGCCUGGCAACACUGGGGCCAAGCCCAGCAAGUUUGAAGGUGGAAGCUAAGGAGCCCUAAGGGACAAAGUUGGCAAAGGUGGUGAGGGCAGUAGAGUUGAAGGAUGGGUGCUGAAUCACAAAAGGCCGCAGAAAGAAAGUAUGCCCAGAGGGACAAAGGAAGCAGGCAUCUGCAGGUCUCAGUGUUGUACCUGCCCUGAACCUGUUGUCAAUACGUGAUUGAAGGGGAGAGGAAGAAAUUGUGGUUGCUUAUCUCAGGUGGCCUCGGUCUUGUUGGGCCAGUACCAGGUUAGGUCUUCUGAGAAAUGGAUAUUGGGAGUCAAGGGCCUGUGAAGAAAUAUGCUUGUUUAUAUAUUAGUUAGGAUCAACUAAAUACCAUGAGAAGCAGAGCCCACAUGCAAAGGCUCCACAGUAUAACCUCUACCUUACUGAAAUCUAAUUCUUGCUCACUUGACAGUCCAGGAUGAGUGUUCAGGUCAGUGGGUGGUUCCUUUCUUUUUGGUCAUUCGGGCACUGCUUUGUUUUGAAUGUCUGUCGCCUCCAAAACUCAUCCUGAAACUUAAUUGCCAAUGUGGCAGUAUUGAGAAAUGGGCUUUUAAGAGACGAUCACUGGGUCAUGAGGGCUGUGUCCUCAUGAAUGGAAUCAUCAUUCAGGCUUUAAUGGAUUAAUGGAUUAUCACAGGAGUGGGACUGGUGGCUUCUUAAGAAGAGGAAGAGCUAGCACGCUGAGCCCCCUCACCAUAUGAUGCCCUGUACCACCCCGAGACCGUAGAGAGUCCCCACCAGCAAGAAGGUACUCAGCAGAUGGGACCCCUUGACCUUGGACUUGACAGCCUCUAGAGCUGUAAGAAAUAAAUUCUUUUUCUUUAUAAACUGUCCA